UACCUGGUUGAUUCUGCCAGUAGUCAUAUGCUUGUCUCAAAGAUUAAGCCAUGCAUGUCUAAGUAUAAGCAAUCUAUACUGUGAAACUGCGAAUGGCUCAUUAAAUCAGUUAUCGUUUAUUUGAUAGUACCUUACUACUUGGAUAACCGUGGUAAUUCUAGAGCUAAUACAUGCUAAAAACCGCGACUUCGGAAGCGGUGUAUUUAUUAGAUAAAAAACCAAUGCCCUUCGGGGCUCCUUGGUGAUUCAUGAUAACUUAACGAAUCGCAUGGCCUUGCGCCGGCGAUGGUUCAUUCAAAUUUCUGCCCUAUCAACUUUCGAUGGUAGGAUAGUGGCCUACCAUGGUAUCAACGGGUAACGGGGAAUUAGGGUUCUAUUCCGGAGAGGGAGCCUGAGAAACGGCUACCACAUCCAAGGAAGGCAGCAGGCGCGCAAAUUACCCAAUCCCGACACGGGGAGGUAGUGACAAUAAAUACUGAUACAGGGCUCUUUUGGGUCUUGUAAUUGGAAUGAGUACAAUUUAAAUACCUUAACGAGGAACAAUUGGAGGGCAAGUCUGGUGCCAGCAGCCGCGGUAAUUCCAGCUCCAAUAGCGUAUAUUAAAGUUGUUGCAGUUAAAA
rnacentral:ncRNA from 1 species